rnacentral:tRNA from 1 species
AGGCGGAUAGCUCAAUGGUAGAGCGCCUCUAUUAAACACAGAGGAGGUUGCAGCGUUCAAUCCCUGCUCCGCCUACCA